GACGAACGCUGGCGGCGUGCCUAAUACAUGCAAGUAGAACGCUGAAGGAGGAGCUUGCUUCUCUGGAUGAGUUGCGAACGGGUGAGUAACGCGUAGGUAACCUGCCUGGUAGCGGGGGAUAACUAUUGGAAACGAUAGCUAAUACCGCAUAAUAGCAGUUAUUGCAUGAUAACUGUUUGAAAGGUGCAAUUGCAUCACUACCAGAUGGACCUGCGUUGUAUUAGCUAGUUGGUGGGGUAACGGCUCACCAAGGCGACGAUACAUAGCCGACCUGAGAGGGUGAUCGGCCACACUGGGACUGAGACACGGCCCAGACUCCUACGGGAGGCAGCAGUAGGGAAUCUUCGGCAAUGGACGGAAGUCUGACCGAGCAACGCCGCGUGAGUGAAGAAGGUUUUCGGAUCGUAAAGCUCUGUUGUAAGAGAAGAACGAGUGUGAGAGUGGAAAGUUCACACUGAGAC
rnacentral:rRNA from 1 species